UUUGGGAGAGAGAGAGUUUGAUCCUGGCUCAGGACGAACGCUGGGCGGCGUGCCUUAAUACAUGCAAGUCGAGCGCGGGAAAGCAAAGCAGAUCUCCUUCGGGGGGUGACGCUGUGGAACGAGCGGGCGGACGGGUGAGUAACACGUGGGCAACCUACCUGUAAGACUGGGAUAACUCCGGGAAACCGGGGCUAAUACCGGAUGAUACAUAUCGUCGCAUGACGAGAUGUUGAAAGGCGGCAUAUGCUGUCACUUACAGAUGGGCCGCGGCGCAUUAGCUAGUUGGUGAGAUAAAAGCUCACCAAGGCGACGAUGCGUAGCCGACCUGAGAGGGUGAUCGGCCACACUGGGAGUGAGACACGGCCCAGACUCCUAGGGGAGGCAGCAGUAGGGAAUCUUCCGCAAUGGACGAAAGUCUGACGGAGCAACGCCGCGUGAGUGAUGAAGGUUUUCGGAUCGUAAACUCUGUGUUAGGGAAGAACAAGUCCAUCGAUGGGUGGACCUUACGGUCCAUCCA
rnacentral:rRNA from 1 species